rnacentral:rRNA from 1 species
AGAGUUUGAUCCUGGCUCAGGAUGAACGCUGGCGGCGUGCCUAACACAUGCAAGUCGAGCGAAGCGAUUUAGCGGAAGUUUUCGGAUGGAAGUUAAAUUGACUGAGCGGCGGACGGGUGAGUAACGCGUGGGUAACCUGCCUCAUACAGGGGGAUAACAGUUAGAAAUGGCUGCUAAUACCGCAUAAGCGCACAGCAUCGCAUGAUGCAGUGUGAAAAACUCCGGUGGUAUGAGAUGGACCCGCGUCUGAUUAGCUAGUUGGUAAGGUAACGGCUUACCAAGGCGACGAUCAGUAGCCGACCUGAGAGGGUGACCGGCCACAUUGGGACUGAGACACGGCCCAAACUCCUACGGGAGGCAGCAGUGGGGAAUAUUGCACAAUGGGGGAAACCCUGAUGCAGCGACGCCGCGUGAGCGAAGAAGUAUUUCGGUAUGUAAAGCUCUAUCAGCAGGGAAGAAAAUGACGGUACCUGACUAAGAAGCCCCGGCUAACUACGUGCCAGCAGCCGCGGUAAUACGUAGGGGGCAAGCGUUAUCCGGAUUUACUGGGUGUAAAGGGAGCGUAGACGGCGAAGCAAGUCUGAAGUGAAAGCCCGGGGCUCAACCCCGGGACUGCUUUGGAAACUGUUUUGCUAGAGUGCUGGAGAGGUAAGUGGAAUUCCUAGUGUAGCGGUGAAAUGCGUAGAUAUUAGGAGGAACACCAGUGGCGAAGGCGGCUUACUGGACAGUAACUGACGUUGAGGCUCGAAAGCGUGGGGAGCAAACAGGAUUAGAUACCCUGGUAGUCCACGCCGUAAACGAUGACUACUAGGUGUCGGGUGGCAAAGCCAUUCGGUGCCGCAGCAAACGCAAUAAGUAUUCCACCUGGGGAGUACGUUCGCAAGAAUGAAACUCAAAGGAAUUGACGGGGACCCGCACAAGCGGUGGAGCAUGUGGUUUAAUUCGACGCAACGCGAGGAACCUUACCAGCGUUU